UUUACUCAGGUCUGUGGUUGAAAGUUGAUGCCAGUCGCAGGCAAAACAAUCCACGUAAGGUAGUCAAAAUGGCUGCUGAGCAUGGUGCGGCUUAGAAGUAAGUCCUGCCUAAUUAGGAAAAUAAUAAUCUAUUCCAGUCUAGUACAUAGUACUUAAGGCUAAUUGAUGUUAUUUUGCUGGUUAGAGAGAAGUAGUAGUAGGAGGGAACCCCUUAUAGGCGAGGCUUCCUGCAGGCGAAUGUGGGGGCAAAAACCAGGUCAGCUGAGUAAA
rnacentral:ncRNA from 20 species